CGCCGUUUUAUAAACGUUGGUGUGACGUCCGCUGGGAGAGUUCGGCUUUUUUGCUCACUUGGCAUCUUUUAAAGUUUAGCUAAGACCCGGCGGUGAGUAUUUCGCGAGACUGUACAGAGUGAGUGGAGUACGUCGGGAGAGUUAAUUUUAAGUUAAGUGGAAUGGACACCUCUGGAUGGACUCCUGACCCAUUCCAGUAUGUCCUCAUGGACAGAACCAGAUGUCUUCCAUCUGUAUCCCCUGUGUGCAUGUGUGUGUGUGUGUGCGUGGGCGUGUAUCAGCUGGGUGUUGUUACUUUGCAGAUCACGUCUCCACAAUACGGAAUCAAACACAUGGUACACCAACUGCCAUAUCUGUGACUCUGCACUAUGCACAAGAACCGUAUGUUAACAGUGCAAAGAAGAAUCUUUUGCAGAAAACAAUCACAUCGUUUUUUCUUUAUUUAAAAAACU